AUGUUGCUCGGGGGGAGACCCUGCUUUCGGGCGGGGUGGCACCCCGGUGGACCAAACCAAACUUGUUUAAUAUGUCGUCUGAGUCGAUUUAAAAAAUUAAUCAAAACUUUCAACAACGGAUCUCUUGGUUCUGGCAUCGAUGAAGAACGCAGCGAAAUGCGAUAAGUAAUGUGAAUUGCAGAAUUCAGUGAAUCAUCGAAUCUUUGAACGCACAUUGCGCCCCGUGGUAUUCCGCGGGGCAUGCCUGUUCGAGCGUCAUUACACCACUCAAGCCUCGCUUGGUAUUGGGCGACGCGGUCAAUCCGCGCGCCUCAAAUCUUCCGGCUGGUUCGAAUCGUCCCUCAGCGUUGUGGAAACUAUUCGCUAAAGGUGCGCGUUUCGGUCACGCCGUUAAACAAACCAAUUCAUUAAAGGUUGACCUCGGAUCAGGUAGGGAUACCCGCUGAACUUAAGCAUAUCAAUAAGCGGAGGAAAAGAAACCAACAGGGAUUGCCCCAGUAACG
rnacentral:rRNA from 1 species